UACGUAGGGUGCAAGCGUUGUCCGGAAUUAUUGGGCGUAAAGGGCUCGUAGGCGGUCCAUCGCGUCGGGAGUGAAAAGCUGGGGCUUAACCCCAGUCCUGCUUUCGAUACGGGUGGACUAGAGGUAGGCAGGGGAGAACGGAAUUCCUGGUGUAGCGGUGAAAUGCGCAGAUAUCAGGAGGAACACCAAUGGCGAAGGCAGCUCGCUGGGACGGUACUGACGCUGAGGCGCGAAAGUGUGGGGAGCGAACAGG
rnacentral:rRNA from 1 species